rnacentral:rRNA from 1 species
AACGAACGCUGGCGGCAGGCCUAGCACAUGCAAGUCGAGCGCGCCCUUCGGGGUGAGCGGCGGACGGGUGAGUAACGCGUGGGAACGUGCCCUUUUCUACGGAAUAGCCUCGGGAAACUGAGAGUAAUACCGUAUACGCCCUUUGGGGGAAAGAUUUAUCGGAAAAGGAUCGGCCCGCGUUGGAUUAGGUAGUUGGUGGGGUAAUGGCCUACCAAGCCGACGAUCCAUAGCUGGUUUGAGAGGAUGAUCAGCCACACUGGGACUGAGACACGGCCCAGACUCCUACGGGAGGCAGCAGUGGGGAAUCUUAGACAAUGGGGGCAACCCUGAUCUAGCCAUGCCGCGUGAGUGAUGAAGGCCUUAGGGUUGUAAAGCUCUUUCAGCUGGGAAGAUAAUGACGGUACCAGCAGAAGAAGCCCCGGCUAACUCCGUG